rnacentral:rRNA from 1 species
UCGGUAUGGGAUGGGGUCGCGUCCUAUCAGCUUGAUGGCGGGGUAACGGCCCACCAUGGCUUCGACGGGUAGCCGGCCUGAGAGGGCGACCGGCCACAUUGGGACUGAGAUACGGCCCAGACUCCUACGGGAGGCAGCAGUGGGGAAUAUUGCACAAUGGGCGCAAGCCUGAUGCAGCGACGCCGCGUGCGGGAUGGAGGCCUUCGGGUUGUAAACCGCUUUUGAUCGGGAGCAAGCCCUUCGGGGUGAGUGUACCUUUCGAAUAAGCACCGGCUAACUACGUGCCAGCAGCCGCGGUAAUACGUAGGGUGCAAGCGUUAUCCGGAAUUAUUGGGCGUAAAGGGCUCGUAGGCGGUUCGUCGCGUCCGGUGUGAAAGCCCAUCGCUUAACGGUGGGUCUGCGCCGGGUACGGGCGGGCUGGAGUGCGGUAGGGGAGACUGGAAUUCCCGGUGUAACGGUGG